GUUGAACGCUGGCGGCGUGCCUAAUACAUGCAAGUCGAGCGGAGCGUGGACGGGUGAGUAACACGUGGAUAACCUCCUAUAAGACUGGGUUAACCUCGGGAAACCGGCGCUAAACCGGAUAAUUAUAGAUGGCUCCGCGCUGCAUUAGCUAGUUGGUAAGGUAACGGCUUACCAAGGCUACGAUGCAUAGCGGACCUGAGAGGAUGAGCGGCCACACGGGAACUGAGACACGGUCCAGACUCCUACGGGAGGCAGCAGUAGGGAAUCUGACGCAAUGGGCGAAAGCCUGACAGAGCAAUGCCGCGUGUGUGAAGAAGGUCUUCGGAUCGUAAAGCUCUUUCAUUAGGGAAGCGGUACCUAAACAGAAAGCCACGGCUAACUACGUGCCAGCCGCCGCGGUAAUAC
rnacentral:rRNA from 1 species